UUUCAUAGCGAAGUGCAACCAUAAGGUGCCGCCGAGGACCGUGUAUCGUUAAGGCGCGAUAAAUGAGUCCUCGCAAUUUUAUCGGGUCGCCCAUUGUUUCACGAUCCGCUAAACGGCAUUAUUCAAGAGCGCGCGGAUCUUGUUUAGACACGAGUAUCGCCGACUAACACUGACAUCACGAUUCCUCCGUUACGUGGCUGCUUAUCAACAUGCGCGAUAUAACGGAGUGCGAUCACAAAGGCGUCUACAUUGUUCGUAAGAAGCAAAUCAAACGGAACCGCAACUAACGCUUGGGACAGUCGUCAAAAGUGAAGCGUAAAUAAAUUCUCCUCAAGAUUCUCCCGGCUGUUGUUCUCGGCGAUGUGCGCAGACGGCGAGGACACCCCCGCAAACGAGCGCGCGGACGCGCGCGCGUUCACGCUCGCUCUGUCUGUACGACCAAGGACAACAACAUUCUCCGCAAAACUAAUUGCCAGAGUGAAGAGUGCGUACGCCCUUCCGAGCCUUUUGACCCGAUCGUAGCGCACGGGGUUACAGACGAAGGGGGCAGUCUGGCGGGACUCGCAAGGGGAUGCGCUCCGCCCAGACGCGUUGCACCUCGGCUCUCCGACUGCAUCGCGGAAACUAUCGGUCCUCACAGUGGGCCGCACAGCGCCUGUAAUCUCGGGGCUCCGUAACUACUCUUCGACCGGCGACAAAAAACCAGCAGAAAAUGAAAUACGGAUUACAGUGGUUGGCCGAGAGCGGAUAAUAGUGGAUAAUGAUGACCUCUCGGCCGGUGCGCUUCGCUACCACCACCCGCUCGGAUCGCAUUUUCCCCGCCUUUUCCCCCUUUUCUCUUCCCUUUCGCCGCGUCGCUUUCCGCCCGCCGUGCGUUUAUCGCGCAUCGGGAUUUCCAUACAAAGUUGCGCCCGAUCAUCGUAACGGCGGUCCGCGGCGUGCACUCGCUGCGUUUCUCACGCGCAUCGCACGCUCGGGUGCAUCAACCUCUUCAGCAACGCUGGAAAAGAAAAAGAAUCGAGUAAUCUCUGUUCAAGUUGUUCUAAGAUUUUUGGUUUUUUUUUUGCGACGGUGCUCAAUUAAAUUCGCGAUUUAUCAGAUCUCAAUAAUCAUUUUAAGUACAAAAUGAAAAUCUUGAACAUUUUUAUGAUUAUUUUUUGUUGAAUUAAAAUAUCAAAGCAACAUGAAUUUCUAGGAUAUAAGUCCUGUUCCGUAAAAUGACACUUACAAUAUCGCUCCGGCCGAUUUGCGCUUAAUGUAUUUGAGUGUGCUUGUUCGUGCCUAUCAUGACGGCCUCGUAGCCGUAUAGUCAAUAGGCCGACGUCAAUUCGUACCGAUGAAAUAAAUCAGGCGUCGAUCGCGAGAGCGGGUGCCGGCGCGCGGACGCUCGCUCGUACAGGUGGAAUUAAUGCAUGGAGAUUUCCGAUAUAUCGAGAGCGCUGUGGGAAUAAAUCAGCCGCUAUAUGGUGAACACGACUCCGCGAGCGGAGCGCGAAAGUGCGGGGGACAAGACUUCUGCGCAACAAAUCAGACUGCGCGCACGUAGAUCCGUGAAAUUUAAUUAUCUAAGGUGAUCCAGAACAACACGCCGCGAUUAAGAUCUUAAUGGCGCGUCGGCCGUAGCGGAAAAUGUUUUGUAGUAAAUAAAAUGAAUGUGUCAGAGAUACCUCGCAUUUUUAGAAACAUUAUUUAGCAAAUGUGCCGCGACUCCUAAAGAGUUCGAUGAAUUAAUACACCGUUUGUUAUUUAAUUUCUGCUGCUGCUUUAUAUCGCACGCCGACUGCAACCAAAGUUGUUUGCCUCUCUAAAAUCGAACGGCGAGCGAGGUGUCGACGACCGCCGAGAGACUUGCGAACGCGAACAUAAAUCCAAAUUAGCGGCAACAUAACGUGUAACCGUGCGCCGAUCGGUCUCCUCCUUUCUCCUUCUCUCUGUAAGAAUGACAGUAAAUCGCGAUGCGAGCUAUCACCUCAGUCGAUCGCUCAAAUACCGAUGCCCAUUUCUAGGGCAUACCGCAAAUUCCUUCGCCGCGAAUUUAGUAUCAAUUUCAGAAAAAAAAACAAUCUUGUUAUU